rnacentral:tRNA from 1 species
UGGGGGAUCGUCUAGCGGCAGGACACCACACUCUGGAUGUGGGAACUCAGGUUCGAAUCCUGGUCCCCCAACCA